UCGAAAUUAUAGGCGAGGGUUGUAGCUGGCCUCCCGGGGCACGUGCACGCCCGAGCCCUUAAUCCACACACACCUGUGAACCUAUUGUAAGGGCCCGUGAAAAGGCCUUUACGUUUUAUCAUCAACGCAUGUCUAAUAGAAUGUCAUUCAAUAUCUUCGCCUUAAAAAAGCGUCGGUAAAAUUAUA
rnacentral:misc_RNA from 1 species